UACGAAGGGUGCAAGCGUUACUCGGAAUUACUGGGCGGAAAGCGUGCGUAGGUGGUUCGUUAAGUCUGAUGUGAAAGCCCUGGGCUCAACCUGGGAAUUGCAUUGGAUACUGGCGGGCUAGAGUACGGUAGAGGGUGGCGGAAUUCCUGGUGUAGCAGUGAAAUGCGUAGAUAUCAGGAGGAACAUCCGUGGCGAAGGCGGCCACCUGGACCAGUACUGACACUGAGGCACGAAAGCGUGGGGAGCAAACAGG
rnacentral:rRNA from 1 species